AGGGUUUGAUCCUGGCUCAGAAUCAACGCUGGCGGCGUGCCUCAGACAUGCAAGUCGAACGAUUAAAGCUCCCUUCGGGGAGUGCAUAAAGUGGCGCACGGGUGAGUAACACGUAAGUAAUCUACCCUCGGGUGGGGAAUAACAUCGGGAAACCGAUGCUAAUACCGCAUAAUGCAGCGGCACCGCAAGGUGACAGUUGUUAAAGAUUUAUUGCCUGGGGAGGAGCUUGCGGCAGAUUAGCUUGUUGGUAAGGUAACGGCUUACCAAGGCUACGAUCUGUAUCCGGUCUAAGAGGACGGUCGGACACACUGACACUGAAUAACGGGUCAGACUCCUACGGGAGGCAGCAGUCGGGAAUUUUGGGCAAUGGGGGAAACCCUGACCCAGCAACGCCGCGUGAAGGAUGAAGUAUUUCGGUAUGUAAACUUCGAAAGAAUAGGAAGAAUUAAUGACGGUACUAUUUAUAAGGUCCGGCUAACUACGUGCCAGCAGCCGCGGUAAUACGUAGGGACCAAGCGUUGUUCGGAUUUACUGGGCGUAAAGGGCGCGUAGGCGGCGCGGUAAGUCACUUGUGAAAUCUCUGAGCUUAACUCAGAACGGCCAAGUGAUACUGCAGUGCUAGAGUGUGGAAGGGGCAAUCGGAAUUCUUGGUGUAGCGGUGAAAUGCGUAGAUAUCAAGAGGAACACCUGAGGUGAAGACGGGUUGCUGGGCCAACACUGACGCUGAGGCGCGAAAGCCAGGGGAGCAAACGGGAUUAGAUACCCCGGUAGUCCUGGCCCUAAACGAUGAAUACUUGGUGUCUGGAGUUUUAAUGCUCCGGGU
rnacentral:rRNA from 1 species